rnacentral:rRNA from 1 species
UACAGAGGUCUCAAGCGUUGUUCGGAUUCAUUGGGCGUAAAGGGUGCGUAGGCGGCUCGGUAAGUCGGGUGUGAAAUCUCGGAGCUUAACUCCGAAACUGCAUUCGAUACUGCCGUGCUUGAGGACUGGAGAGGAGACUGGAAUUUACGGUGUAGCGGUGAAAUGCGUAGAUAUCGUAAGGAAGACCAGUGGCGAAGGCGGGUCUCUGGGCAGUUCCUGACGCUGAGGCACGAAGGUCAGGGGAGCAAACGGG